GGGCCCGUAGCUCAGUUGGUUAGAGCGUUUGUCUGAUAAGCAAAAGGUCCGGAGUUCAAAUCUCCGCGGGCCCA
rnacentral:tRNA from 1 species